UACGUAGGCAGCAAGCGUUGUUCGGAAUUACUGGGCGUAAAGGGUGCGUAGGCGGCUCUUUAAGUUUGGUGUGAAAUCUCCUGGCUCAACUGGGAGGGUGCGCCGAAUACUGAGAAGCUAGAGUGUGGGAGAGGAAAGUGGAAUUCCUGGUGUAGCGGUGAAAUGCGUAGAUAUCAGGAGGAACACCGGUGGUGUAAACGGCUUUCUGGACCAUAACUGACGCUGAGGCACGAAAGCGUGGGUAGCAAACAGG
rnacentral:rRNA from 1 species